rnacentral:sRNA from 1 species
CCCCCCCCCUCUACUUUUUGUUUUUAGAAAAGAAUUAGACCAAGUCUUAGACUCACUCUUGAUACACAAAAACAUUAUAUUUUAGAAAAAGCUCAUCAUGAUAAACUUUGAAAUUGAAUCUUAAAUCUGAAAGCCGGGCUCUUUUGGUGUGUUUUUAUGCAUGUUGUGUAGUAAAGACUUAAAAUAUCUCUCUCUCUCUCUCUCUCAUGCUUUUAAUGCUCUCUCUCUCUCUCUCUCUCUCUCUCUCUCUCUCUCUCUCUCAUGCUUUUAAUGUCGGCAAAGCGUCAGAGAGCGACCAAAAUUUGUAGGCGGCUAUAAACAAAAGUAUGUAUGUCUAGUAGAAAAAAGUUCAACAGUUGCUGCCUUGCAAUUGAAUUUUGCAACAAGAGUUAUAUAUUCAAUCCCUAUUUCUGCAAUGCACAGCAAAGUAGUUCAUGGAAAUUCAUGCGCAACGUAUAGUCUUGUUUUUAAUACACGUUAUUAAUAAGAAAGCUAAAAAAGAUAUACAAUUCUUUCGAAAUUAAAAAAAGAAAGAAACAAAAUACCAGCACUUUUGACAAAACGUGGCUCUUUUUGUAACUAUUUGGUAUAGCGGAAGCUUUUACUUUGACGCUGUUUGGUUUUUUGUUUAAUUUUUGAAGUUGUGCUAUUUAUAGUAUUAUUGGCGAUUUGCCUGCCUACAGCCAAGACUCUGCUUUCAGCAGAGCCCGGCUAAAAAAUUCAAACUUGGAUGAUGUUAACAGCUUGGUUAAAAAAGGAUGUUUUGUAUUAUCAUAUUUUUCAUUUUGUCCAAAUGUAAAAGAACCAUGGUUUUUUUUUUACCUUCAUUGAUGUUUUGUAAAUGUUACUACUGAUGAUGACUUGAACAGAAAUCAUGGUAAUUGUGUACAGACAAACAUAUUUUGUUUAUCUUUACAAUAUUACCACGAUUUUUGUUCAAACGUUAUCUCCGAUAGUAAGAUUAUAUACAAAACAUUUAUGAAGGUAAAAACAUGAUUUUUUUUUAAUCUUUACAAAUGUUUUGUCAAAGAUGCAUAAACCUAUCAUCAAAUUGUUUUUAAACAAUAAUGUUAUUAUAAGCACGACUAUAUUUACAUCUUGUUAUAUUCUUUUUAACUGUUAAUGUAAACCAUAAAAUGUUGAUUUUAAACGAGAAUGAUUAUUCAAAGUAAUGUUUUACCAAUAAAGUUGUUGGAGGAAUAAAUUGUGUUGUUGACUUGAAAUAAACAGUAUGUAAAUUU